UACGUAGGGUGCGAGCGUUAAUCGGAAUUACUGGGCGUAAAGGGUGCGCAGGCGGUUUUGUAAGCCAGAUGUGAAAUCCCCGGGCUCAACCUGGGAAUGGCAUUUGGGACUGCAAGGCUAGAGCGUGGCAGAGGAGACUGGAAUUCCCGGUGUAGCAGUGAAAUGCGUAGAUAUCGGGAGGAAUACCGAUGGCGAAGGCAGGUCUCUGGGCUGACACUGACGCUCAUGCACGAAAGCGUGGGGAGCAAACAGG
rnacentral:rRNA from 1 species